rnacentral:rRNA from 1 species
GAAAGAUGAAAAGAACUUUGAAAAGAGAGUUAAACAGUACGUGAAAUUGUUGAAAGGGAAACGAUUGAAGCCAGUCGUACCUUCGGGUAAUCAGCCUUUCGGGUGCGAUUCUGUGGGGUUUGAGGAGCUUAACACCUUCAUGCUUUGCAUAUUCGUGCUCUUGGGUGUACUUGCCCGUGUGGUUGGUUAACAUCAAUUUUGGUCGUCAUAAAAUGACUGGAGGAAUGUAGCUUCGAUCUUGUAUUGAAGUGUUAUA